ACGCUCGACACCUACGGGAGGCAGCAGUAGGGAAUCUUCCACAAUGGGCGCAAGCCUGAUGGAGCAACACCGCGUGAGUGAAGAAGGGUUUCGGCUCGUAAAGCUCUGUUGUUGGAGAAGAACGUGCGUGAGAGUAACUGUUCACGCAGUGACGGUAUCCAACCAGAAAGUCACGGCUAACUACGUCCCAGCAGCCGCGGUAAUCUGAGCGGGCUGGCAAGGC
rnacentral:rRNA from 1 species